rnacentral:rRNA from 2 species
UUUCGUGACUAUAGCAGAGAGGACACACCUGUUCCCAUCCCGAACACAGAAGUUAAGCUCUCUCACGUCGAAAGUACUUGGCGGGCAGCUGCCUGGGAGGAUAGAUCGUUGCGAAGC